UUCCGUUNUCGAGNCUGAGAGGUUGAUCGACCACNUUGGGUCUGAAAAAACCCCAAUGCAAGUUAGUACAGCAGUGAGGAAUCUUGGUCAAUGGCCUAACGGCUGAACUGGCAACUUGGAAAAGUGGCAAGUCUUGUUUUGAUUAUAUUACUAUGUAUAAUCUAUAAGAUUGUAUUAAAAUUGAAUAAAGCUUUGUUUAUAUAUUGAUAAUGACAGUAUAUAUAUCGNGUCUUGACUAAUUACGUGCCAGCAGUCGCGGUAAUACGUAAGAGACUAGUGUUAUUCAUCUUAAUUAGGUGC
rnacentral:rRNA from 1 species